rnacentral:rRNA from 1 species
UACGGGGGGGGGCAAGCGUUGUUCGGAAUUACUGGGCGUAAAGGGCGCGUAGGCGGCCUGCUAAGUCGGACGUGAAAUCCCUCGGCUCAACCCGGGGAACUGCGUCCGAUACUGGCGAGGCUUGAAUCCGGGAGAGGGAUGUGGAAUUCCAGGUGUAGCGGUGAAAUGACGCAGAUAUCAGGAGGAACACCGAUGGCGAAGGCAGGUCUCUGGGCAUUAACUGACGCUGAGGAGCGAAAGCAUGGGGGAGCGAACAGG